rnacentral:pre_miRNA from 8 species
AAAUUAUCCUUUUGAAAGGGUCCCAGAGAUUGAUUGUCCAAACGCAAUUCUUGUAACAUAUAAUAUAAAUCCAAGAAUUGUGCCUGGACAUCUGUUGCUGGAGAUUCAACAUCAUCUUUCUGGAG